GGGGAUGAUCGGUUUCGACAUCGCCUGAGCUCCUGCGAGAAGCGGGCCGAGGAUGCAGGGUUAUCUCGUAAACGAUCUCUGCAAAACUACAAGUGCCGAAACAAAGCGCACUGAGUUCGCCCUCGCUGCAUAAGCGAGCCUGAACUCCGUCAGACCGUAGGCGUUCCCGCUACGGACCCUGGCGUCAUCUAGGGGACUUGCUGCGUGACGGCGUCUGGACGUCGCGUGGGACUUUUUCCAGACUGGGCCUGUCGACCUAGAUGCCUGUGGCAAAGGUCGGGGCCGAGUAGAACGUCUGCACAGGCUACGCCCGUAGAAGGCGCAGAGACACAGCGAUGGACGGGGGUUCGAUUCCCCCCAUCUCCACCA
rnacentral:tmRNA from 1 species